GGCGGCGUGCCUAACACAUGCAAGUCGAACGGAGUUCUUAAGGAAUGCGACUUCGGUCAAAUGACUUUUGAACUUAGUGGCGGACGGGUGAGUAACGCGUGAGCAACCUGCCUUUCAGAGGGGGAUAACAUUUGGAAACAGAUGCUAAUACCGCAUAAGAUUACAGUACCGCAUGAUACAGUGAUCAAAGGAGCAAUCCGCUGAAAGAUGGGCUCGCGUCCGAUUAGAUAGUUGGUGAGGUAACGGCUCACCAAGUCGACGAUCGGUAGCCGGACUGAGAGGUUGAACGGCCACAUUGGGACUGAGACACGGCCCAGACUCCUACGGGAGGCAGCAGUGGGGAAUAUUGCACAAUGGGCGAAAGCCUGAUGCAGCAACGCCGCGUGAGGGAAGACGGUUUUCGGAUUGUAAACCUCUGUUUUCGGUGACGAACAAAUGACGGUAACCGAGUAGGAAGCCACGGCUAACUACGUGCCAGCAGCCGCGGUAAUACGUAGGUGGCAAGCGUUAUCCGGAAUUACUGGGUGUAAAGGGAGCGCAGGCGGGAUAGCAAGUCAGCUGUGAAAACUAUGGGCUCAACCCAUAAACUGCAGUUGAAACUGUUAUUCUUGAGUGGAGUAGAGGCAAGCGGAAUUCCGAGUGUAGCGGUGAAAUGCGUAGAUAUUCGGAGGAACACCAGUGGCGAAGGCGGCUUGCUGGGCUCUAACUGACGCUGAGGCUCGAAAGUGUGGGGAGCAAACAGGAUUAGAUACCCUGGUAGUCCACACUGUAAACGAUGAUUGCUAGGUGUGGGGGGUCUGACCCCCUCCGUGCCGGAGUUAACGCAAUAAGCAAUCCACCUGGGGAGUACGGCCGCAAGGUUGAAACUCAAAUGAAUUGACGG
rnacentral:rRNA from 1 species